GGUUGCCAGUGGAGCCCGAGUCUGAUACAGUGUCGGUCUGUUAUUGUUUGAUCUAAUUUUCAGUAUUAAAUGUAGCAUGAUGUUUGAUGUAAUUAUGUUAUGGUCUCGUAUGCAUGAAUCAUGAUUUUUUUUAUUAUGGUUUGUAUUAUGGUGAACCCGGUACUGUAUUGUCUUAUUUGGUGUCAAUUACUGGUUUACAUGUUGUGUAUGAUUGGAUGAUUGAGAUUAAGGAAAAAGGUAAAAAGGUUACG
rnacentral:lncRNA from 1 species